ACUCCCGGCAACGUGCAAUCUUGGGAUUCGAGUGCUGGGAAAGGAAGAGCCUAAUCCUGAACCGUGCGUUUACAGCAAAGGAUUCCACACCAAGCCCAUCCACCUGCUUGAAGACUCCAGGACCUUCCUCUUACCAUUUCAGAGCCUCUUUCAAACCAAUUCCUGUGCCUUAGAUGCCCUGCUUUCCCUGAUCUUUACACUGGCCCUGUCCUUUGGCAAACUUCUACUUAUAAACACAGACAAGU
rnacentral:lncRNA from 1 species